AGAAAUAAGUAGGGUCCAGUCCCUAUUCCUGAGGCCUUAGAGAAAGGGGAAGAUCCAUAAACUGAAAGGCAGAAAGAUCAUGCAAGAGGGGAGGAGGCCACCAGACUAAAGGACGUUCAAAGAAAGGCGGGUGCCCCUGAAGCACCAGGAUGGAGUCAGCCCCAUGAGACACUCACUAAGCAGUUGUGAACUCCUAGUGUAGUACUGCCGUGCAGCUGAGUAUUCAUAAUUCUUAAGGGCCUCUGUAGAGGAGAAGGAACCAGCAUUCUCUAGGCACACUGAAGCCGCCUCUCCACCUAUAAGUAAAAAGAAGAGACGAUCCCAAGCACAGAGAGGGCCUGAGUCCGUGGCAGCCUCCCUUGGCACCUCAGACCUCCAAACACUGAGAAAACUCAUCCGGAGUCAGAUCCAGACGUUUCUUCAUCUCAGCUGCCAGGAAGUACGUAUUUUGGCACAUGGGGACCAAGGAAGGAAGGAAUGGAGGAGAACUUACCCCAGAGGCUAGUAAAAUAUCAGCACAGGUUGUUUGCUCAUCUGUGGGAAAACAAUAGAAAAGAAAAAAAAAAAAAAAAAAA
ensembl:lncRNA